rnacentral:rRNA from 1 species
GCCUCAGUACGGCGAGUGAGCGGCAAAAGCUCAAAUUUGAAAUCUAGCACUUUCAGUGUUCGAGUUGUAAUUUGAAGAAAGUCUCCUUGAAUAGUCCUUUAUCUAUGUUCCUUGGAACAGGACGUCAUAGAGGGUGAGAACCCCGUAUGAUUUUGGAUCCUAUUCUCUGUGGGAGUCUUUCGAAGAGUCGAGUUGUUUGGGAAUGCAGCUCUAAGUGGGUGGUAAAUUCCAUCUAAAGCUAAAUAUUGGCGAGAGACCGAUAGCGAACAAGUACAGUGAUGGAAAGAUGAAAAGAACUCUGAAGAGAGAGUGAAAAAGUACGUGAAAUUGCUGAAAGGGAAGGGCUUGAGGUCAGACUUGGUGUUUAAUGAUUAUCUUCUUUUCUUAAGUUGUGCACUCGUUUUUCACUGGGCCAAUAUCAGUUUUUGUAGUAGAGCACCUCUUGAAAUGUGAUUUCCUUCGGGGAGUGUUAUAGUCUUGAGACGAUCUACUACGGGGACUGAGGACUGCGCGUUAUGCUAGGAUAUUGGCGUAAUGACCUUAAGCCGCCCGUCUUGAAACACGGACCAA